rnacentral:tRNA from 1 species
GCCUCGGUGGCCAAGUGGUUACGGCGUCUGUCUCGUAAACAGAAGAACGUUGGCUGAUUCCCAGCCCUCGGUCGAAUCGCGGGUUCAAAUCCCGCCCGGGGCUCCA